UCUAAACUAUCUGAAUAAGGAUUUAAAGGAACAUGUCUCCAACUAACUCCGUAAAACUGAACUGAAGAAAUAAAUAAAUGGAUCAAAUAAUAUUGUCCUCGAAUUAAUGAGGAAUCACUGUGUCUUUGCGAUUGGAAUGCUACCGCUACUGCUUGGCUGGAGCUCAUGUCUCAGAACCUAUGGUGUAACAUGAAAAGAAAGAACCAUAGCACAAAUGCGUCAGAACAAAUGGAGUACUGAGUAUACGAGGAAGGUAGGCUGAACAUAAAGAGUUUCAUGCAUGAACAACACUGACUGCCUAAUAUGAACGUGGAGUGCAAACACACAUAUAUAGAAAUUGGGACCGUGAAUAUGUGAUAGCAUGACCUGUAAGCUAAUACAUGGUUUACUGAUAACUGUCAUGACUGAUACUGAAACUGAUAACAUGGACGAUUGUAUCUAACAGUCCUGUAUAUAUAAAAAUCUGAAGAAUACCCCGAGUUCUUUUACUGAGACUGAUACUGAAACUGCGGGAAGUAGUAUUUAACCGACAUGCCCCAUAUAUGCCAUUAUGGCUAAUCUGGGGUCUAAUCCCUGCCCCGACUGGAGGGGUGUCAAUACUGUGCCACGGGUAAGGACAGCUUGUGAGUGACCUUUAUCUGGUGGGUACUCAAUGAGAACGGUAGGAACCCUGAACUAACGGGUUAAGCCACCUCAUCAAUCCUAAUCUAAUGGGUUAAGAUGUCUCAACCUACACUGGCUACAUAGUUCUGGAACACAAGGAUGACUACUAAGAAUCACACCCUGAACUGGCGGGUGAGUUCCCAUCCUUGGGUUCACUCCGUGGUAACCUCUACUCCCAUCUGGAGGGACUAGACAUGAAUAACUGACUGUGCAUGACUUAAUCUUACUGAAUUCCGUUGACUAGUAGAAUGUUACUGAUAUCUUAUAACUGACUAAGAUCAUGAGGUUUUCCUGAGUCAAGAUAUCGUGAAACAUGACAUGGAUCUAGGCACAUAGCUAUAGUUUUUAGGUACAAGUACCCCCAGGACUUGAUGGAAGGAAACUGACACACAUGACUGACUUGAUCAUAAGAGUAGAGUCCAUAAUUUAUAAUAUCAUAAGUAGGGAUCUCAUACUAAGCAUGGUUAUCAACAAUGUAUUGAAUGGAAAGGAUUUCAUAUCACAUGAAAGUACUUGCACAAUCUUAAUAUCAUGUUCAUUACAUAAUCAUAUUGGGAACAACUACCAAUAACAUUACAUAAUCAUAUUGGGAACAAAUACCAAUAACAUUACAUAAUCAUAUUGGGAAAAAAGACCAAUAACAUAAAAGUUCCUGUGGAUUGCAUAGUUAUCAUACAUCUUGUUCAUAAGUAGGAUUUGCAAGUAACAUAGCAUAAUCUAAUAAGAAAACUUCAUGACAACAUUUACAAGACACAUUAUCAACAUAAAAGUCAUUAGAACAUAAGCGUAUAUCAUGAAUCCUUCACUUUGUCACAAUUUAGCUAUAUUGCAUGAUUUCUAGUUUCUUAGACAUUUUAUCAAAUACCUUUCAUGCACAUCUUAAUCAUAGGUGAAAUCAUCAAGUUAUACAUCAUGAACAACCAAAUUUACAUGUUUCCAACUCAUAUGAUAUGAUGAAUUCACAAAAACAUAUAAAGAUUCCAUCUUGGGAAUCACCCAAUAUCAACAACAUGAUCAUCAACACCCAAAAAUAUUGAAAUCAUACAUUAUAAUGAAAAAGAGGGUUUUUGAGCUUUAUGGAUGAAAGGGAUCCAUAAAUUAAUUCACGCAUACCUUAGAAGGAAAGAUUCUUUAUGAUUGAUGGACGAAUUUCCUCCAAAUUAGAUCUUCAAGCUUAGUUAUACAACCCUAGUUGUUUUUCUCUUUUAGUGCUCUUGGAUGUUGAGCUUUGAGAUGAUAAUAGGGUUGUAAUAUGUUUAGAAGCUAUAUAUUUCGUAGGGUUAAGUUUAGGGACGUGUAAGGAGUGUUUAAAGACUUAAUUACCUUUAAAAUAACUCAAAACGGAGUGUUUCUAACACCUGGAAUUGAUUUAGGCAGCUCCCAAGUGAUAGCCUAUGCUUGGGUUGGGCGGCGCCUAACCAAUCGCCUAUGCUUACUGUCUCUCAUGAAAAUGGGCAUAACGUUUCCCUCGGGUAUCCAAUUAAGGAGAAAUUGGUAUCGUUGGAAAGCUAAUUAGAUUCUCUACAAUUUGGUGGGUCUAAAUCAGCCAAAAUACCGCAUUAGCAUCGAGUUAUACUUCUUCAAAGAUGAUCCUUGCAAAAUUGAACACUAAAACUUCAUGGAUUCAAAAACUCUUAGCUUGUAUUACCUUAAGUGACUCAUAUGAACAUGCUUAAUGCAUCAUAAGCUAUCCUAUCACUAGGAUAUUCAUUGUAAGUCAUGUACUCAAGUAUGAGUCACAGGAUAGGAGAUUUCAUACGUAGGAAUACUUAUUCACUUCCUAGCUUAGAAACAUGCAGGGUAUUACAAAAUCUCCCCCUUGGGAACAUUCGACCUCGUAUGAGAAUUUACUUAGAAGGGACACAAGAUAUAGAACCUAAACUUAAUAUGAAGAACUGAAACUUGAUCUCAUGACUGACAUGCUAAACAUACUUAACUCGUGCAUAUCUGAUGCACGUGCAACUGACACAUGAAUGCAUGACCGAGUAUGAAACGGUUGAUAGGUACUAAGUUUAUACUGGAAACAUGAACGUGAAACUGAAUAAGAUUAAGGAGAACUAUUACCUUGAGCUUGAUCUGAAUUGGUGGGGAAGAGGUGAGGAUACUUGGUACGCAUAUCUGCUUCUUCUUCCCAAGUAGCUCCCUCAUGAGACUGAUUUCACCAAACAACCUUGACUAGAGGGACUUCUUUGUCCCUCAAUCUACGAGUUUGAUAAUCUAAGAUUUCGACUGGAAUCUCUUCAUAGGAGAGGCUGUUUUGAAUGUCGAUGCUUUGAAUAGGAACAACAAUUGGUGGGUUACCUAAGCACUUCUUUAGCAAUGAGACAUGGAAGACUAGAUGGACUAAGGCUAGAUCUGAAGGCAAGUCAUGCUCAUAAGCUACCUUGCUGAAGCGAUAAAGAAUUCUGAAGGGACCGACAUAUUGGGGACUGAGUUUCCCUUUCUUGACGAACCUCUUCACUCCCUUCAUGGUAGAGAUCUCAAGAUAGACAUAGUCAUUGACCACAAACUCGAGAUCCUUUCUACGAACAUUUGCGUAGGACUUUUAUAAGCUUUGAGUAGCCCCGAGUCUCUCUCUGAUCAACUAAACAUUCUCUAAGGCAUUGAAUACUAAGUCAGGACCUAUGAUUAAGGCCUCACUAACUUUGAACUAACCAAUUAUAGAUCUACAUCUCCUACCAUAAAGAGCUUCAAAUGGAGCCAUCUGAAUACUAGAAUGAUAGCUAUUGUUGUAUGCAAACUCAAUCAAAGGCAAGUGGCCAUCCCAAAUUCCCUUGAAGUCAAUUGCAUACGCCCUUAGCAUAUCUUCAAGAGUCUGAAUGGUCCUCUCUGCUUGACCAUCUAUUUGAGGAUGAAAUGCUAUGCUGAGAUGGACUUGGGUACCGCGACCCUUUUGGAAAGCUUUCCAAAAGUAAGAAUUAAACUGGGUACCUCUGUCUGAGAUGAUAGAUAGUGGAACACCGUGUUAUCUAAAUAACUCCCUGAUAUAGUGUUUGGCAUAAUCCUUGGCAGAAUAAGAAGUAUGAACAGGAAGGAAAUAAGCUGACUUGAUCAUUCUAUCUAUAAUGACCCAGACUGAAUCAUACUGAUGAUGAGUUUUAGGCAAACCCAUCACGAAGUCCUUGUUAACUUCAUCCCACUUCCAAGUAGGAAUGGUGAACUCUUGCAUGGAACCACUAGGUUUCUGAUGUUCUAUCUUAACCUGCUGACAUGUAGAUCACUUAGCCACAAACUCUACAAUAUCUCUUUUCAUCCCACUCCACCAAUAGAUCUCCUGCAUGUCGCGGUAUAUCUUAGUGGCCCCUGGAUGAAUAGAGUAUCGGGCACCAUGUGCUUCUGCAAGAAUUCGCAACCUUAAUUCAUCUACACCUGGAACACAUAGACGACCCUGACAAUGAACAACACCAUCUCUCCCUUGGGAGAAAACCUCAUCUUUCUAUUUCUUAACUAACUCUUUGAGCUUGAAAAGGCUAGGAUCCUUGUCUUGUUUCUCUUUCAACUUGGAAACUAGAGAUAACUCUGAAAUACUAUGAACACAUACUCUACCCUCUAAGAAUCGACUAAGUGAACGCCUAGUUUGGCAAGCUAAUGGAUGUUCUAAGCUAUCUUUUUCUUACUAUCCUCAACGUGAGAAAUACUACCCAUAGAGAGUCGACUAAGAGUGUAGGCCACAACAUUGGCUUUGCCUGGAUGAUAAAGAACACUCAUGUCAUAUUCCUUCAGGAGAUCUAACCACCUUCUCUAGCGAAGAUUGAGAUUUUUCUAGGAAAAGACAUAUUGGAGGCUUUUAUAGUCUGUGAAGACAUCUACAUGAACUCCCUACAGAUAAUGCCUCCAAAUCUUUUUAAGGCAAAAACUACCGCUGCUAACUCAAGAUCAUGAGUAGGAUAAUUCUUCUCAUGUGGCUUUAAAUGUCUGGAGGCGUAGGCUAUAACCUUACCAUGCUACAUAAAAACACAACCUAAACCCACUCUGGAUUCAUUACAAUAGACUACAAAACCGUCUGAACCAUCUGGAAUAGCAAGAACUGGAGCGGAGGUGAGUCGAGUCUUCAACUCUUGAAAGCGCUUCUCGCAUGAAUCUGACCAAUAAAACUUAAUCUUUUUCUGAGUCAAUCUGGACAUCGGAGAUGCAAUAGAAGAAAAUCCCUCAAUAAACCAUCUGUAAUAGCUAGCCAAACCCAAGAAACUCCUAAUAUCUGAUAGAGAUACAGGUCUAGGCCAGUUUCUUACUUCAUUUGUUUUCUAAGAAUCUACUCUAAUGCCAUCACCGGAAACAAUAUGGCAAGGAAUGCUACUGAUCUUAGCCAAAAUUCGCACUUGAUGAACUUAGCAAAUAACUGGUGAUCCCUGAGAGUCUGAAGAACAAUCCUAAAAUGGUCUGCAUUAUCACUCUCUGUGCGAGAAUAGACAAGAAUAUCAUCUAUAAAGACUAUGACAAACAUGUCCAAGUACUGCUUGAACACACGGUUUAUCAAGUACAUAAAAGCUGCAGGGGCAUUGGUAAGAUCAAAUGACAUGACUAAAAAUUCUAAGUGACCAUACCAGUACGAAAAGCUAUCUUUGGAAUGUCACUUUCUCAAACUCUGAGCUGAUGAUAGCCUGAUCUGAGGUCUAUCUUUGAGAAGUAAGUGGCACCCUGAAGUUGGUCGAAUAGAGCAUCAAUCCUGGGAAGAGGAUAUCUAUUCUUGACCAUGACCUUGUUGAGUUGACGUUAAUCAAUACAUAUCCUGAGAGAACCAUCUUUCUUGAGCAAGAAUAAUACUGGCGAACCCCAUGGGGAAACGCUGGGUCUGAUGAAUCCCUUAUCUAAGAUAUCCUUCAAUUGAUCUUUCAGUUCCUUGAGUUCUACUGGUGCCAUUCUGUAUGGCGUAAUAGAAAUAGGUUGAGUAUCCGGAAGAAGGUCUAUGCCGAAAUCUAUUUCCCUUUUGGGAGGAAUUCUUAGAAGAUCUUCGAGAAAGACAUCUGAGAAUUCAUUAACAAUAGGGACUACUUUAAGGCUGGGAUUUUCAGAACUAAAAUUUUUAACAUGCACGAGAUGAUACACACACCCCUUAGAAAUUAUUUUCCUUGCCCGAAGGUAGGAAACAAGAAGACCCCUGAAUGAUGAAAUGCUACCCUUCCACUCUAGGACGGGCUCAUUCGGGAACUGAAACUGAACUAUCCUAUUUCUGCAGGUUACUGUGGCAUAGCAGGAAUUAUAGUAGGAAUAAAGCCAAUCCAUGUCGAGAAUGACAUCAAAAUCAUUCAUCUUUAACUCCACUAAAUCUGCUAUCGUGGAUUUCUGAGAUAUCAUAACCGGGCAGUUCCUGUAUACCCGCCGAGCUAUGAUGGUUUUACCCACUGGGGUAGAGACUGAGAAGGGCUCUGCUAGGACUUCAAGAAUGAUUUUGAUAUUAGCUGCUAUGUAUGGAGCAAUAAAAGACAAAGAUACACCUGGGUAUAGCAAAGCAUAAACAUGAACAUGGAAAAUCUUUAACAUACCAGUAACGACAUCAGGAGAAUUUUCUUGAUCAUGUUACGACUGAAGACAUAGAGUCUGUUUUGGCGUUGCCCACUGGUAGCACUAGAAAUGGCACCCUGCUGGUUCGGGUGACUAGAAAAAGCUGUAGAAUGAUUUUGCUAACCCUGAAUACUUGACUGCAGACAAUCCCUAAUCCUGUGGCCUGGCUUACGAUAGCCAAAAUAGACAUCACUACCGGCUCUGCAAAUGCCCUUGUGGUUCUUGCCAUAAGUCUGACAAAGGAAAUUCGUUUGGGCACUGCUAACACUGUCCUGAGAUUUAGAGCCUGGCACUUUGUUUCUAUUUCCAUCUCUGAACUUCGGCACUGGAGCGUUGGCGGAGGAAGGAGAUGGAAUGGCGGACUUAGAGCGAAACUGUAAACGGUUUCCUCUAUUUAACUUGGGGUGAGGAAAGUUAAAAUUACCUGACCUUGCUCUCUUGUUCUUCCUCUCCCUAGUCUUAAAUUUCUCCUCUUCUACAUACUGGGCAUUAGUCAUGAGUCUUUCUAAGGUCAUAUGACCGAUCAAUAUUGCAGAACUACACUCAUUUACCAUGCUAUCAUCGACCGCUGACACGAACUUGCUCAUCUUAGCUCUAUUGUCUGCAAUCCCAUGAGGAGCAUACCUAGCAAGCUGAGUAAAUCUGAGAGAAUAUUCUCAAACUGUCAUAUUCCCCUGCAUGAGGUUGAUGAACUCAAGAACGUUGGCUUCACUUAGCUCUUGGGGAAAGAAUUUGUCUAAUAGAUUGCACAGUAAGGAUGAACACAAUGCUAGAAUCUGAAUAAAUGCAUCAAUACUCCAUCAAAAAGAUGUACAUUAUCAUGAGGGCUGAUUUCCAGAAAGUUCCUUGGUGCAGGAUCAUUUAUAAAUAAAUGCGGGCAGCUGAAUGGAUCUUCAUCACAAGAUUAGCUAACUUGAAUAGAUUGCACAGUAAGGAUGGACACAGUGCAAGAAGCUGAACGAAUACAUUAAUACUCCAUCAAAAAGCUGUACAUUGUAAUGAGGGCUGAUUUCCAGAAAGUUCGUUGGAGCAAUAUCAUUUGUAACUACACGCGGACAGCUUAAUGGAUCUUCAUCGCAAGAUUAGCUAUCCUGAAUAGAUUACACAGCAAGGAUGCACACAGUGCAAGAAGCUGAAUAAAUGCAUCAAUGCUCCACCAAAAAGCUUUACAUUGUAAUGAGGGGUGAUUUCCACAAAGUUCCUUGGUGCAGGAUCAUUUGUAAAUACACGCGGGCAGCUGAAUGGAUCUUCAUCACAAGAUUAGCAAUCUUGAAUAGAUUGCAUAGUAAGGAUGGACACAGAGCAAGAAGCUGAAUGAAUGCAUUAAUACUCCAUCAAAAAGUGGUACACUGUAAUGAGGGCUGAUUUCCAGAAAGUUCCAUCGAGCAGUAUCAUUUGUAACUACAUGCGGAUAGCUAAAUAGAUCUUCAUCACAAGAUUAGCUAUCCUGAAUAGAUUACACAGUAAGGAUGGACACAGUGUAACAAGCUGAAUGAAUGCAUCAAUGCUCCACCAAAAAGCUGUACAUUGUAAUGAGGGGUGAUUUCCACAAAGUUCCUUGGAGCAGGAUAAUUUGUAAAUACACACGGGAAACUGAAUGGAUCUUCAUCACAAGAUUAGUUUUUUUUAAUAGAUUACACAGUAAGGAUGGACACAGUGUAAGAAGUUGAAUGAAUGCAUCAAUACUCCAUCAAAAAGCUGUACAUUAUAAUGAGGGCUGAUUUCCAGAAUGUUCCUUGGAGCAGUAUGAUUUGUAACUACACGCGGACAACAGAAUAUAUCUUCAUCACAAGAUCAGCUAUCCUGAAUAGAUUGCACAGUAAGGAUGGACACAGUGAAAGAAGCUAAAUGAAUGCAUCAAUAAUCCAUCAAAAAGCUGUACAUUGUAAUGAUGGCUGAUUUCCAGAAAGUUCCUUAGAGCAGGAUCAUAUAUAAAUACACGCGGGUAGCUAAAUGGAUCUUCAUCACAAGAUUAGCUAUCUUGAAUAGAUUCCACAGUAAGGAUGGACACAGUGCGAGAUUCUAAAUGAAUGCAUCAAUACUCCAUCAAAAAGCUAUACAUUGUAAUGAGUGUUGAUUUCCAAAAAGUUCCUUGGAGCAGUAUCAUUUGUAACUAAACCCGGACAGCUGAAUGGAUCUUCAUCACAAGAUUAACUAUCCUGAAUAUAUUGCACAGUAAGGAUGGACACUGUGCAAGAAGCUGAAUGAAUGCAUCAAUGCUCCACCAAAAAGCUGUACAUUAUAAUGAGGGUUGAUUUCCAGAAAGUUCCUUGGAGCAGUAUCAUUUGUAACUACACGCGGAUAGCUGAAUGGAUCUUCAUCACAAGAUUAGCUAUCCUAAAUAGAUUGCACAGUAAGGAUGGACACAGUGCAAGGAGCAGAAUGAAUGCAUUAAUACUCCAUCACAAAGUUGUACAUUGUAAUGAAGGUUGAUUUCCAAAAAGUUCCUUGGAGCAGUAUCAUUUGUAACUACACGCGGACAGCUGAAUGGAUCUUCAUAACAAGAUUAGCUAUUUUGAAUUGAUUGCACAAUAAGGAUGGACACAGUGCAAGAAGUUGAAUGAAUACAUCAAUACUACAUCAAAAAGUUGUACAUUGUAAUGAGGGGUAAUUUUCAGAAAGUUUCUUGGAGCAAGAUCAUUUGUAACUAUACGUGGACAGCUGAAUGGAUCUUCAUCAUAAGAUUAGCUAUCCUGAAUAUAUUGCACAGUAAGGAUGGACACAGUGCAAGAAGCUAAAUGACUGCAUUAAUGCUCUUCCAGAAAGCUGUACAUUGUAAUGAGGGGUGAUUUCCAAAAACAUUCUAAGAUCAGGAUCAUUUAUAAAUACAUACGGGCAGCUAAAUGGAUCUUCAUCACAAGAUUAGAUAUCUUGAAUAGAUUGUACAGUAAGGAUGGACACAGUGCAAGAAGCUGAAUGAAUGCAUCAAUACUCCAUCAAAAAGCUGUACAUUGUAAUGAGGGUUGAUUUCCAGAAAGUUCCUUGGAGCUGUAUCAUUUGUAACUACACACGGACAGCUGAAUGGAUCUUUAUCACAAGAUUACCUAUCUUGAAUAGAUUGCACAGCAAGGAUGGACACAGUGGAAGAAGCUGAAUGAAUGCAUCAAUGCUCCACCAAAAAGCUGUACAUUGUAAUGAGGGGUGAUUUCCAGAAAGUUCCUUGGAGAAGGAUCAUUUGUAAAUACACGCGGGUAGCUGAAUGGAUCUUCAUCACAAGAUUAGCUAUCUUGAAUAGAUUGCCCAAUCAGGAUGGACACAGUGCAAGAAGCUAAAUGAAUGCAUUAAUACUCCAUCAAAAGGUUGUACAUUGUGAUGAGUGCUGAUUUCCAAAAAGUUCCUUGGAGCAGUAUCAAUUGUAAUUACACACGGAUAGCUGAAUGGAUCUUCAUAAUAAGAUUAGCUAUCGUGAAUAGAUUGUACAGUAAGGAUGGACAGAGUUCAAGAAGUUGAAUGAAUGCAUCAAUGCUCCACCAAAAAGCUGUACGUUGUAAUGAGGGGUGAUUUCCCGAAAGUUCCUUGGAGCAGGAUCAUUUGUAAAUACACGCGGGUAGCUGAAUGGAUCUUCAUCACAAGAUUAGCUUUCUUGAAUAGAUUGCACAAUAAGGAUGGACACAGUGCAAGUAGCUAAAUGAAUACAUCAAUAGUCCAUCAAAAAGCUGUACAUUGUAAUGAGUGCUGAUUUUCAAAAAGUUCCUUAGAGCAGUAUCAUUUGUAACUACACGCAGACCGCUGAAUGGAUCUUCAUCACAAGAUUAGCUAUCCUGAAUAGAUUGCACAGUAAGGAUGGACACAGUGUAAGAAGCUGAAUGAAUGCAUCAAUGCUUCCCCAAAAAGCUGUACAUUGUAAUAAGGGCUGAUUUCCAGAAAGUUCCUUACAGCGAUAUCAUUUGUAACUACACCUGGACAGCUGAAUGGAUCUUCAUCACUAGAUUCGCUAUCCUGAAUAGAUUGCACAGUAAGGAUGGACAAACUGAAAGAAGCAGAAUGAAUGUAUCAAUGCUCCACCCAAAAGCUAUACAUUGUAAUGAGCGGUGAUUUCCAGAACUUCCUUGGAGUAGGAUCAUUUGUAAAUACACGUGGGCAGCAGAAUGGAUCUUCAUCACAAGAUUAGCUAUCUUAAAACGAUUGCUCAGUAAGGAUGGACACAGUGCAAGAAGCUGAACGAAUACAUUAAUACUCCAUCAAAAAGCUGUACAUUGUAAUGAGGGCUGAUUUCCAGAAAGUUUGUUGGAGCAAUAUCAUUUGUAACUACACGCGAACAGCUUAAUGGAUCUUCAUCGCAAGAUUAGCUAUCCUGAAUAGAUUACACAGCAAGGAUGCACACAGUGCAAGAAGCUGAAUGAAUGCAUCAAUGCUCCACCAAAAAGCUUUACAUUAUAAUGAGGGGUGAUUUCCAGAAAGUUCCUUGGAGCAGUAUAAUUUGUAACUACAUGCGGAUGGCUGAAUGGAUGUUCACAACAAGAUUAGCUAUCCUGAAUAGAUUGCACAGUAAGGAUGGAAACAGUGCAACAAGCUGAAUGAAUGCAUUAAUCCUCCACCAAAAAAUUGUACAUUGUAAUAAGGGCUGAUGUCCAGAAAGUUCCUUGGAGUAGUAUCAUUUGUAACUACACCAGGACGGCUAAAUGGAUCUUUAUCACAAGAUUAGCUAUCCUGAAUAGAUUACACAAUAAGGAUGGACAAAAUUCAAAAAGCUAAAUGAAUUCAUCAAUCCUCCACCAAAAAGUCAUACAUUGUAAUGAGGGCUGAUUUUCAGAAAGUUCCUUGGAAUAGGAUCAUUUGGAAAUACACUGGGGCAGCUGAAUGGAUCUUCAUCACAAGAUUAGCUAUCCUAUAUAGAUUUCACAGAAAGGAUGGACACAGUACAAGAAGCAGAAUGAAUGCAUUAAUACUCCAUCAAAAAGUUGUACAUUGUAAUGAGGGCUGAUUUGUAGAAAGUUCCUUGGAGCAGGAUCAUUUGGAAAUAUACGCGUGCAGCUGAAUGGAUCUUCAUCACAAGAUUAGCUAUCUUGUAUAGAUUCCACAGUAAGGAUGGACACAGUGCAAAAAGCAGAAUGAAUGCAUCAAUACUCCAUCAAAAAGCUGUACAUUGCAAUGAGGGUUGAUUUCCAGAAAGUUCCUUGGAGCAGUAUAAUUUGUAACUACAUGCAUAUGGCUGAAUGGAUCUUCAUCACAAGAUUAGCUAUCUUGAAUAGAUUGCACAGUAAGGAUGGACACAGUGCAAUAAGCUGAAUGAAUGCAUCAAUUCUUCACUAAAAAGUUGUACAUUGUAAUGAGGGGUGAUUUCCAGAAAGUUCCUUAGAGCAGGAUCAUUUGUAAAUACACGCGGGUAGUUGAAUAGAUCUUCAUCACAAGGUUAGCUAUCCUAAAUAGAUUGCACAGUAAGGAUGGACACAGUGCAAGAAGUUGAAUGAAUGCAUCAAUACUAAACCAAAAAGUUGUACAUUGUAAUAAGGGCUGAUUUAUAAAAAGUUUCUUGGAGCAGUAUCAUUUGUAACUACACGCAGACAGCUGAAUGGAUCUUCAUCACAAGUUUAGCUAUUCUGAAUAGAUUUUACAGUAAGAAUGGACACAGUGUAAGAACCUGAAUAAAUGCAGUAAUGCUCCACAAAAAAGAUGUAUAUUGUAAUGAGGGGUGAUUUACAGAAAGUUCCUUGGAGCAGGAUCAUUUGUAAAUACGCACGGGCAGCUGAAUGGAUCAUUGUCACAAGAUUAGCUAUCUUGAAUAGAUUGCACUAUAAGGAUGGGCAAAGCGCAAGAAGCUGAAUGAAUGCAUCAAUACUCCAUCAAAAAGCUGUACAUUGUAAUGAGGGCUGAUUUCCCGAAUGUUCCUUGGAGUAGUAACAUUUGUAACUACACGUGGACAGCUGAAUGGAUCUUCAUCACAAGAUUAGCUAUCCUGAAUAGAUUACACAGUAAGGAUGGACACAGUGCAAGAAGCUGAAUAAAUGCAUCAAUGCUCCACCAAAAAGCUGUACAUUGUAAUGAGGGUUGAUUACCAGAAAGUUCCUUGGAGUAGUAUCAUUUGUAACUACACGCGGACAACUGAAUGGAUCUUCAUCACAAGAUUAGCUAUCUUGAAUAGAUUGCACAGUAAGGAUGGACAUAGUGCGAAAAGUUGAAUGAAUGCAUCAAUACUCCAUCAAAAAGUUGUACAUUGUAAUGAGGGCUGAUUACCAAAAAGUUCCUCGGAGUAGUAUCAUUUGUAACUACACGCGGACAGCUGAAUGGAUCUUCAUCACAAGAUUAGCUAUCCUGAAUAGAUUACACAGUAAGGAUGGACUCAGUGCAAGAAGCUGAAUGAAUGCAUCAAUGCUCCACCAAAAAGCUUUACAUUGUAAUGAGGGGUGAUUUUCAGAAAUUUCCUUGGAACAGGAUCAUUUCUAAAUACACGCGGGCAGCUGAAUGGAUCUUCAUCACAAGAUUAGCUAUCUUGAAUAGAUUGCAUAGUAAGGAUGGACACAAUGCAAGAAGCUGAAUAAAUGCAUCAAUACUCCAUCAAAAAGCUACACAUUGUAAUGAGGGCUGAUUUCUAGAAAGUUCCUUGGAGUAGUAUCAUUUGUAACUACACGCAGACAGCUGAAUGGAUCUUCAUCACAAGAUUAGCUAUCCUGAAUAGAUUGCACAGUAAAGAUGGACACAGUGCAAGAAGCUGAAUGAAUGCAUCAACGCUCUAUCAAAAAGCUGUACAUUGUAAAGAGGGGUGAUUUCCAGAAAGUUCCUUGGAGCAGGAUCAUUUGGAAAUACACGUGGGCAGCUGAAUGGAUCUUCAUCACAAGAUUAGCUAUCCUGAAUAGAUUUCACAGUAAGGAUUGACACAGUUAAAUAAGCUGAAUGAAUGCAUCAAUGCUCCACCAAAAAGUUGUACACUGUAAUUAGUGGUGAUUUCCAGAAAGUUCCCUGGAGCAGGAUCAUUUGUAAAUACACGCGGGCAGCUGAAUGGAUCUUCAUCACAAGAAUAGCUAUUUUGAAUAGAUUGCACAGUAAUGAUGGACAUAGUGCAAGAAGUUGAAUGAAUGCAUUGUAAUGAGGGCUGAUUUUGAAAAAGUUCCUUGGAGCAAUAUCAUUUGUAACUACACGCGGACAGUUGAAUAGAUCUUUAUCACAAGAUUAGCUAUCCUGAAUAGAUUGCACAGUAAGGAUGGACACAGUGCAUGAAGCUGAAUGAAUGCAUUAGUGCUCCACCAAAAAGCUGUACAUUGUAAUGAGGGCUGAUUUCCAGAAAGUUCCUUGGAGCAGUAUCAUUUGUAACUACACGCGGGAAGCUGAAUGGAUCUUCAUCAAAGAUUAGCUAUCCUGAAUAGAUUACAUAGUAAUGAUGGACACAGUGCAAGAAGCUGAAUGAAUGUAUCAACGCUCCACCAAAAAGCUGUACAUUGUAAUGAGGGGUGAUUUCCAGAAAGUUCCUUUGAGUAGGAUCAUUUGUAAAUACACGCGGGCAGCUGAAUAUAUCUUCAUCACAAGAUUAGCUAUCCUGAAAAGAUUGCACAGUUAGGAUGGACACAGUGAAAGAAGCUGAGUGAAUACAUCAAUACUCCAUCAAAAAGCUGUACAUUAUAAUGAGGGGUGAUUUCCAGAAAGGUCCUUGGAGAAGGAUCAUUUGUAAAUACACGCGGGCAGCUGAAUGGAUCUUCAUCACGAGAUUAGCUAUCUUGAAUAGAUUGCAAAGUAAAGAUGGACACAGUGCAAGAAGCUGAAUGAAUGCAUCAAUACUCCAUCAAAAAGCUGUACAUUGUAAUGAGGGCUGAUUUCCAGAAAGUUCCUUGGAGCAGUAUCAUUUGAAACUACGCGCGGAUAGCUGAAUGGAUCUUCAUCACAAGAUUAGCUAUCUUGAAUAGAUUGCACAGUAAGGAUGGACACAGUGCAAGAAGAUGAAUGAAUGCAUCAAUGCUCCACCAAAAAGCUGUAUAUUGUAAUGAGGGGUGAUUUCCAGAAAGUUCCUUGGAGCAGGAUCAUUUGUAAAUACACGCGGGCAGCUGAAUGGAUCUUCAUCACAAGAUUAGCUAUCUUGAAUAAAUUGCACAGUAAGGAUGGACACAGUGCAAGAAGCUGAAUGAAUGCAUCAAUACUCCAUCAAAAAGCUGUACAUUGUAAUGACGGCUGAUUUCUAGAAAGUUCCUAGGAGCAGUAUCAUUUGUAACUACACGCGGACAGCUGAGUGGAUCUUCAUCACAAGAUUAGCGAUCCUGAAUAGAUUGCACAGUAAGGACGUACACAGUGCAAGAAGCUGAAUGAAUGCAUCAAUGCUCCAUCAAAAAGCUGUACAUUGUAAUGAGGGGUGAUUUCCACAAAGUUCCUUGGAGCAGGAUCAUUUGUAACUAUACGAGGGCAACUGAAUGGAUCUUCAUCUCAAAAUCUGCUAUCCUGAAUAGAUUGCACAGUAAGGAUGGGCUAAUGAAGCAGGGCAUCACAGAUAACCAACUGCGGUCCUAUGCGGUGGAGGCAUUGAAUCUAGUGAACAUCUCUUCUUUAUUUGCGAUUACUUGAAACUCAAUAUGGACAGAACUCUUAAAUUGGCAAGGUGUCACAGAGUAGCUACAACAUGGCAAGAGGAGCUGGACUGGGCCAACGAAAUGCACGAUGGAAAGGACCAGCAACAACUAUAUUCAGAAUGAGCAUUGCAACUGUAGUUUACAACGUUUGGAUAGAGAGGAAUCAGAGGAAAUUCCAAGCCAAGUCCAUUGAUCCACGCGUGAUAACCAGAAGAGUAGUGUAGGAGAUCUUUCAGAGGGUCUUUGAAGCCUCAGCACAAUAACAAAUUAGUAGAUGUCAACUACUAUCCUUAGUGGUAUUUUGUUUUUCCAAUCAUUAUUGCCUUUAACGUUAUGGUUAAUAGUUGGCUAACUGAUUGGUUGCUAUGCCAAUGCAGUUUGGAUUUGUACGGAACGUUAGCACUUUUUGAAAAAGAAAAGUAGCUUAUCUUAGGAAGAAGAAAAAAUCAAUGAUUCUACAGAACAGAGAGAUCAUAUCUGCAGUUAAAUCUUCCUAUGAUAAUUAGCAAAAAUGAAAUUUUACUAGAAUAAACUGGAGAACCAACUACCAUUUAUUUUUAGUACCGUCUUUGCAUCCAGUUGACCACCUGUACACCUUUCAUCCUAGAUUCCUUCCGUGUAUGAUUAUCACUCUCUUCUGUGUCUCCAUGGGACCUGAUGAAUUUCCAGAAUAAUUUGAUGAUAUUUCUAUAAAAUGUUGACAUGAAGGUUGAGCUGCGUCAGCAAGAGGAUUAAGAGAAGUCCUGGAAUCACUAAGCUCUUUUUCACUUUCCUCAUCCAUUUGAAUCUUGCCAGCACUGACUAUAUGCCGACAAGCAUAUCACGACAUAAAAGACUUGGAAGUGUUCGCCAUUCCUAUUGAGUGUUGUUAUAGCCAUCCACUAUAUUUAUCUUCGAUAUAAAGAAUAUUUGUCCUGAAGUACACCUAGACAAUACAUCACACAUACGUGUAUAACUGAUAGAGAA
rnacentral:lncRNA from 1 species